UAUAUUAGUCAAUGGAGGCAACUCUGACCGAGCCAUGCCGCGUGCAGGAUGACGGUCCUGUGGAUAGAAAACUGCUUUUGUAGAGGAAGAAAAAGAGCUACGAGUCGCUUAUUGACGGAACUGUAAGAAUAAGGAACGGCCAACUCAGUGCCAGCAGCCGCGGUAAUACGGAGGGUCCAAGCGUUAAUCGGAAUUAUUGGGUUUAAAGGGUCCGUAGGUGGCUUUUUAAGUCAAAUGUGAAAGUUUUUGGCUUAACCUAAAAAUUGCAGUUGAUACUGGUGGGCUUGAAUUUUUGAGAAGAAACUAGAAUAUGUAGUGUAGCGGUGAAAUGCUUAGAUAUUACAUGGAAUACCAAUUGCGAAGGCAGGUUACUAACAAACGAUUGACGCUGAUGGACGAAAGCGUGGGUAGCGAACA
rnacentral:rRNA from 1 species